rnacentral:lncRNA from 1 species
GCAGAGUGUAAGACAGUAGGGGAUGGUGGGGACUGCAGUGAGAUGGAGGCCACAUUUUCUCUCUAAAUGAAGCAGGUGGAAUCCACACACUUGGCAAAUACAUUUAUUUGUUUCCCCCACCAGAAAGUUAGCUCAAUGAAGCAGGACUUUUUGUGUUUGUCACAUGUAGCAAGUGCUUAUAGGCACUCAACCUCAGCCGCUGUCCACAGCCUUUGAGCAGUUCUUGCCGUGUGUGCAGUUUCACAGAUUUUGAAGCACUUUUACAUUCACUUUCUUAUUUUAUCCCCCAGCCUCUUUUUUGGCUCUUUAUUUGCUUCUGACAUGACUGCUACAAUUAAAAUUACCUAAUGGACACCGCCCCCCCCCCCCCCCCGCCCAGUAUUUAGAUGUGUCUUCCUUUUGAACCUCUCCACCCUCUUCAUAUUUUAGCUCCUCUCCAUCCUAAUGUGUUUGGCAUUAUAUCUUGGUUCCCUCUACUUAUCUAUCCUAUCAUAUUUGAACAGUGUUUUGUUUUGUUUUUGUUUUGGAUCGAACUUAGAACUUUAGUGUACUACUGACCUUGGGCCUACCAUCAACCACCUUCCACGCUCAGCCUCAGUCCCUGCAAUGCCGCCCAGCUGCUUCUUGUCGGGAAUAGUACAUGAAAGGUUUCAUUUCUUCGAAACUGCUCUCCUGAAACAUCUUGCUCCUCAAGAAAGUAAUCAUCUAUAGACAUCUGAACUUCCUAUUCCAUCACAUGGACAUCUUCCACAAGAGAAAAUCUCAUCUGCAUGGGAAAGUUAUAGCCUAACCUCCUCAGAGCUUCUCUUGGAGCAGUGGGUACUGGGAUUUGUUGUUCAUUAUACCUCAGAUGUAGGUUUUCUUCCUUUCCUUCCCUUUCCCUUUCCCUUUCCCUUUCCCUUUCCCUUUCCCUUUCCCUUUCCCUUUCCUCUCAGUAAAAUGUGUGUGUGUGUGUGUGUGUGUGUGUGUGUGUAUAUAUAUAUUUUUUUUAAGAAUUUGUUUGAGAGAGUGUGCAUGAGCAGGGGAAGGGGCAGAGGGAGAGAGAGAAGUAGACCCUGCUGGGUAGGAGAUUUGAUCCCAGGACCCAGAGACCAUGACCUGAACUUAAGGCAGAUCCUUAACCUACUGAGCCACCCAGGGGUCCCAUUGUUUUGUUUUGUUUUUAAGGUUUUGCUUAUUUAUUUAUGAGGGGUAUAUAUAUAGAGAGGCAGCGACAUAGAGAGGGAGAAGCAGGCUCUCCCUGCAGGGAGCCCGAUGCAGGACUCUAUCCCAGGACUCUGGGAUCACGCCCUGAGCUGAAGGCAGACGCUCAACUGCCGAGCCACCCAGGCAUUCCUGUUUAAGCCACUUUGAAUUAAAUUUCUUUUACUAACGACCCAAGCAAUUCUGACUAAUAUGUAAUAGAAGUAUUUUACAUGCUAUCUCCAGUGUCUUGGAAAUUAUCUCCAUUUGACAGAUGAGGAAAGGGAGCUUGAAGGUUCAGGGAAUUUGUACAGAUCUUAUGGGUGGUCAGAGGAAGACCCAGGAUUUGGUACAAGGUUGAGCUUGAAACCAGACAUCAUUCUUUACCAGAAACCUUUGAAAAUGUUUUCAGUUUUAGUUUCUUUAAGAAACAUAAGCACCUAUGAUUCCAAGUCUCCUUUGGAGAUGCUCCGUGCCUGCUGCUCCAUACCAGAAUUGACUCAGCGAGUUGUCGGGCUGACUCGAAUUGUUGUUUAUAUAGUCUGUGAACUUGCAGUUUAUGGUGUUUUGUAAUUUUGUUUUCCCUGCCGUUUCGCUAAUGUGGCUUUGUGAGCAAACAUCGCCUGUGAUUUAAAUUCACCACAGUAAUGAAACGGGUACGCGCACACACGCAGGCACACACGCUUCUUCAGAACAGUCCACAGCUUUCUGAUUAAUCACAUGUGUAAAGUACAGUGUUUACAGGAAAUCAGCAGGUGGCAAUUAGCAUCUUGGAAAUUAUCUGGGAAACAACUGGAGCUGCCACUUCAGGAGGGAAACAUGGCAGUAAUCAGCAAAGUGACAAACCCCCUUGGAGCUGGGAAUGAGCAGGGCUGGGAGUGGGGGGCUGCCAGGCACACAGCAGCUGGUGGGGGCAGCCCGGUGUGGAUCACAGACUGCUUGCCAGCCAUGUUCUUUUACUCUCAACACUCAAGAAGCAAGUCUUUGGGUGGAAAUAGUUGAAAUAGUUGCCUGACAGGCAGACUGUCUCAGGACAACCGUUAAAAAACACUCACUACUACCACCACCACCACCACCAUUCAGACCUCGGUCUGGGCACAAGCAGGCGCUGGCACUACUGAUCUAGUUAAAAUAUGGAACUAUUUCAAGAGUCAUUUGUAAACCAGCUACUGUCUUGAGCCCGCCGAGUGGUAUUCCACUGCCGCCUUUCCGGAGGAAAACUCUCACAUCCUCAGGAGCCAGUGACCAGAAGGUUAAAGCCCAAAUCCCGCUCUAGUGCUGAGUCCAGGGUCCAUUCUGAUGGGUCAGUGCCUGUGCUGUCUGAUUGUUGAAUAUUUCGUGUAUCACCCCUCAGGAGUUUUGGUGACCGCUGUGGAAGGCAGAAACAGGAUGGGUAUAUCAGAGGGAACAGGAAGAGAGAACAUUGCAUGGUCCGUUUGAUACUUAAGGUGCUCUUCAUCCAUAAUUGAAAAAAUAGAUAUAUUCUUUUUUUUUAAAAGAUUUUAUGUAUUCAUGAGACACACACACACACACAGAGGCAGAGACACCCGCAGAGAGAGAAGCAGGCUCCUCACCAGGAGCCUGAUGUGGGACUCCAUCCCAGGGCCCCAGGAUCACAACCUAAGCCAAAGGCAGACACUCAACCGCUGAGCCACUCAGGUGCCCCCAAAAUAGAUGUAUUCAAUAUGUAUAUUUAUGCCUAUAUCUAAUCAUCUAUCUGUAUCUAUACCUACACGUAGACCUAUACUUACAGCUAUGCCUGUACCAUCUAUGUCUACAUCUAUACCUAUAAUGAAGGGGCAGUGUAGCCAUGCUGUAUUAUUUACUAGCAGUGUGGCCUAGCAUCAAGAACAAUGUCAACCAUUGGUUCUCCACACUGGCUGCGCAUUAGAAUCAUUUCUUGAAGCUUAUGCAAAUCGCAGGUGCUGGGGGGGGGGGGGCCCCAUAAGAGAUUCUGGUCCUAUGGAUCCAAGAUGAGUUCCGACCAUCAGAAUUAAAAAAAAAAAAAAAAAAA